rnacentral:rRNA from 1 species
GAUGAACGCUGGCGGCGUGCCUAAUACAUGCAAGUCGAGCGAACAGACGAGGAGCUUGCUCCUCUGACGUUAGCGGCGGACGGGUGAGUAACACGUGGAUAACCUACCUAUAAGACUGGGAUAACUUCGGGAAACCGGAGCUAAUACCGGAUAAUAUAUUGAACCGCAUGGUUCAAUAGUGAAAUACGGUUUUUCUGUCACUUAUAGAUGGAUCCGCGCCGCAUUAGCUAGUUGGUAAGGUAACGGCUUACCAAGGCGACGAUGCGUAGCCGACCUGAGAGGGUGAUCGGCCACACUGGAACUGAGACACGGUCCAGACUCCUACGGGAGGCAGCAGUAGGGAAUCUUCCGCAAUGGGCGAAAGCCUGACGGAGCAACGCCGCGUGAGUGAUGAAGGUCUUCGGAUCGUAAAACUCUGUUAUUAGGGAAGAACAAAUGUGUAAGUAACUAUGCACGUCUUGACGGUACCUAAUCAGAAAGCCACGGCUAACUACGUG